AUGUAUGUAUGUAUGUAUGUAUGUAUGUAUGUAUGUAUGUAUGUACGCAUGUAUGGAGGUACAUUGUCUUCAGUGUUAUUGUCAUCAGUUUCACCAUUGUUAACAUUGUCAGUGUUACCGCUAGAAGAAAUAAACCAAACAGCAAGUUAUUCCCUUCCAUUUCGUGAAAAAGAUAAUGAUAACGUGUCUACUCGGGAUGCAUCAAUCAUUGCUGCUAUGUUUAUACCUAUUAUGAUCAUUAUUUUUGUUUUGUGUUUUAAGAUUCCUAACAUUUUGGAGAAAUCCAAUAAUAAAAAAUUAUUGAUAAAAGAUUCAAAUAUAUAAGAUAUUAUAGGCAGUAGAAAUUUACAAAUGUAUACACUAAAACAAACAUUUUAUUUUUGAGCAAUAUAAUGGAGACAAAUAUUUUAUAUAGAAGAGAUAAAUAUGUUGCUUUUUUUAUCUUUUAAAUUGUUUGUAAUAAAAAAAAUAAAUAAAAAAAGAGUUAAUAAAAUUAAAUUCUUUUUUUAAAACAGUUUAACAAAUAUCAAAUAAACAUCCAAUAGACAUGUCUCUAUGUGAUAAAGAGGUGAAUCACAGGUUUAUUUAUUAAUGACAACUUCAUUUAUUAAUUUAAUUUUAUGCAUGAUGGAUUUUUUUUAAUGACGUAAAUUUUCAAUUUCAUUUUUGUCAUCGACAUGUAUCUCAACGACAUUUUAUUAACAACAUUUUAACUGCUUAAUUAAUUAUUAUUAAUUUAUACUUUUUAAUUUAAUUUAACAUAACCACUGUUUUAAAGCAAGAGUUCCUUUUUUAAUCUUUUUUUUGUUUGUUUGUGAGAAAAGCUUUUGAAAAUUUAUCAUAUUUGAUAUAUUUAUCUAUUUAAUUUCACGUUGAGCUUUUGAAAGUUGCUUUUGCUAAGAUUUUUUCAUCAAUAUACAAAUUUUCAGAAAAGUUUUUUUGAAAAAAUAAAACGAAAAAUUCUUGAAAUAUAAUAAAAUAUUUGAUAAAUCUCUAUCAUUUUUUGAAAAAAUCCUACCACAGGCAGCUACUUUUAAGAAAAACCCGAAAACGUCAAUAAAAUUUACAAUUACAGAUUAUAUUGUAUUUUGUUGGGACAUUUUGCAUAGUCGUUUGUUGAGAUGUACAAAAAAAGAUGUACCGAAGCCAAGAUUGAGCCAAA